UACGGAGGGUGCAAGCGUUGUUCGGAAUCACUGGGCGUAAAGGGCGUGUAGGCGGUCCGCUAAGUCUGAUGUGAAAGCCCGAGGCUUACCCUCGGAAGUGCAUUGGAGACUGGCGAACUAGAGUCCCGGAGAGGAGGGUGGAAUUCCUGGUGUAGCGGUGAAAUGCGUAGAUAUCAGGAGGAACACCGGUGGCGAAGGCGGCCCUCUGGACGGUGACUGACGCUGAGACGCGAAAGCGUGGGGAGCAAACAGG
rnacentral:rRNA from 1 species